rnacentral:rRNA from 1 species
GGCUCAUUAAAUCAGUUAUCGUUUAUUUGAUAGUACCUUACUACUUGGAUAACCGUGGUAAUUCUAGAGCUAAUACAUGCUAAAAACCCCGACUUCGGGAGGGGUGUAUUUAUUAGAUAAAAAACCAAUGCCCUUCGGGGCUCCUUGGUGAUUCAUGAUAACUUCUCAGAUCGCAUGGCUUUACGCCGGCGACGGUUCAUUCAAAUUUCUGCCCUAUCAACUUUCGAUGGUAAGGUAUUGGCUUACCAUGGUUUCAACGGGUAACGGGGAAUUAGGGUUCGAUUCCGGAGAGGGAGCCUGAGAAACGGCUACCACAUCCAAGGAAGGCAGCAGGCGCGCAAAUUACCCAAUUCCGAUACGGAGAGGUAGUGACAAUAAAUACUGAUACAGGGCUCUUUUGGGUCUUGUAAUUGGAAUGAGUACAAUUUAAACCUCUUAACGAGGAACAAUUGGAGGGCAAGUCUGGUGCCAGCAGCCGCGGUAAUUCCAGCUCCAAUAGCGUAUAUUAAAGUUGUUGCAGUUAAAAAGCUCGUAGUUGAACCUUUGGCCUGGCUGGCAGGUCCGCCUCACCGCGUGCACUUGACCGGCCGGGCCUUUUCUUCUGGAGAACCGCAUGCCCUUCACUGGGUGUGUUGGGGACCAGGACUUUUACUUUGAAAAAAUUAGAGUGUUCAAAGCAGGCCUUUGCUCGAAUACGUUAGCAUGGAAUAAUAGAAUAGGACGUGCGGUCCUAUUUUGUUGGUUUCUAGGACCGCCGUAAUGAUUAAUAGGGACAGUCGGGGGCAUCAGUAUUCAAUUGUCAGAGGUGAAAUUCUUGGAUUUAUUGAAGACUAACUACUGCGAAAGCAUUUGCCAAGGAUGUUUUCAUUAAUCAGUGAACGAAAGUUAGGGGAUCGAAGACGAUCAGAUACCGUCGUAGUCUUAACCAUAAACUAUGCCGACUAGGGAUCGGGCGGUGUUUCUAUUGUGACCCGCUCGGCACCUUACGAGAAAU